GGGGUGUGCUCAGAGCAGAUGGCCUGAAGAAUGGCUUCUCUAUUUACAAUACAUCCAACAGGAAUUUAGGGUCAUUGUGACAAGGGGCACAAAGCUUCUGAGCAAAUGUCUUCCAUAU
rnacentral:snoRNA from 1 species